UACGUAGGGACCGAGCGUUGUCCGGAUUCAUUGGGCGUAAAGAGCUCGUAGGCGGCCACUCAAGUCGAAUGUGAAACCUCGAGGCUCAACCUCGAGCCUGCAUUCGAUACUGGGCGGCUAGAGUCUGGUAGGGGGAUCUGGAAUUCCUGGUGUAGCGGUGGAAUGCGCAGAUAUCAGGAGGAACACCGGUGGCGAAGGCGGGUCUCUGGGCCGAUACUGACGCUGAGGAGCGAAAGCGUGGGGAGCGAACAGG
rnacentral:rRNA from 1 species